rnacentral:tRNA from 1 species
GUUUUAGUAGCAUAGUGGUUAGUGCACAGCCCGGAUAGGUGAGACGCGGGUUCGAAUCCCGCCUGAGAUG